GUUCUAAGCUUCAGGAUGUGGGCUUGCUGCCUGUGCGGGAGAAUCUCAGAGCCCAGGCCAGCGCCUCCCCUUGUCCCAGCAGGGCUGAAAGAACCACCUGCCUCAUUUCCAGGACCAACAGGCCCAGGCAGCUCCUGCUUUUCCUUACCGGUGGCCCUGAAGGCAGUUAGCAUCCCACUCCAUGUACGGUCACCUGUGGUCACUAUUGUCAUCUGCUAACUAUGAGCAACCAGCCUGACUGGUUGGUCCUGUUCUUACCUGGCCAGAGAAGCAGAAGCUCAGCACCUGUUAAGAACCCUUGCAAUCCACCCAGGGUGGUGUGUCUCUGAAACCCCAAUAAGCUUCCCUCAGCCUGCAUCUAAGGGAGCAGACCGUACUUCUGCCUGUGGAGGCCAGCCUCUCCCUGCCUACUCUGUCCUCUUUGCUCCCCUGCGGGGCUCCUUUGUGAUCUUCUUGGCCCUUUGUGGAUAGUGCCAGAGCUGAGAGCAACACACUUUCAUAUAUAUUUGUAUCUUGUAUAAG